rnacentral:lncRNA from 1 species
AAAAAGGGAUUAGUGGACAGGGGACGGCAAUCUUCCUCCUUCUUUUGUUCUGCAUAUUCUGGCAUCUUAAAGCUUUCGUGCCGUGGAUCUAAACUAUCGCUUAUGAGAGUCCAUAGACUAAAGGCAUCCACAGGCACCUUGGAUGGCCCGUGGCCGGCAUAAUAAUCCUGCAAUUUCUUUCCUACCUUAUUCCAUAAUUCCAAACUAACAGUUCCCUCCGUGGGGAACCAGGGGCAGACCUUUUCAACAAACUCUAAAAAAGCACAGAGCUGUUGAUGCCUGAUGCGCGCACCUCGGGCUGGGCCUGUAACAUAUUUUUAAGCGUUUGAGCGAACAGCGCCCUGCUACUGCCGUGCCCCAUACUCUCCUGAAUAUUAUCGCCGCCCGUCACUUACCGAGCGCCCUCGUAUACCCGCGGUGUCCUUCACUCUGGUAUCCCCCGUAUUCAGGUCCCUGUUUGGGCGCCACCUGUGAAGGACCAGCUGUCACCAGUCGAAAGGUUCCUGAAUGGGGGAAAGGAGGACUGAGAAAAUAAGACAAAGAGACAGAGUCGGGAGGGCUCCCAAGACCGAGCAAGCAAGUUUAUUUUCACCUCUCUUUUAUAUACUCAGUGAGUUAGGUCAUUAACCAUGACCUUUAUCCAAAACACCUGCUUCAUUUGUUGCUAGUUUUCUAGACACUCCUCGCCCUCAUGUGCUACUUUGUUUCCUGGGGUUACAGAAGGUUCACCUUGUUGCUAGGGCAAACUCUAAAGGGAAACAUUGGAGUUAGUGGAGAGACACGGUUCCCCAUUACAUAGUCUCCUGGCCAUUUAUAACAAAGGGUAAAAUUAAAAUGAAGCUUUUUGGCUGACACCGCUCCCCACAUUUUGGAGAACAUCCUGUGUGCAGCUGAGAAGAAUGUGUAUUCUGAUGUUGUGUGCUGGAACACUCUGUAGGCAUUUGUUAAGGCCAUGGCACUUUACCAGGAAAGAACUCCGUGUCACAUUUUCAACUCACUGGGCCAGGAACAAGGUGGAAAACUGUAGGUUUUCUAGGAGAUUGUUUCACAGCAUUUCAGUCAAAG